AUGGUAAAAUUUGAGCAUGAGGAUCAAGAAAUCAUAGUCCACGGGGAAGAUGAACAAUCCAUUUAUCGCGACCCAUCAGUUCCAUGCCUCGAAGCAAGAGAAGGAAGCGAGCACAUAGUUUAUCAGGCCUUUGAAGUUGUGGUGGCAGACCAGUAUGAAGAAGGAAACCCUUGCCCUCAACCCUUCCUUUCUAAUGCCUCAAUCAUGGUGGCUAAAGAAAUGAUCCGACAGGGCUUCAAACUAGGGAAAGGACUUGGGAAAUCCCUGCAAGGAAUAUCUGAACCAGUUACCCUGCCCGCCACUGAGAAGUUUUUCGGGGUAGGCUUCCAACCUACUCCUGAUGAUAUAAAAUGGGCGGACGACAGGAAGAAUGAUGGAUGGGUUUUGCCUCAACCACUGCCACAUCUGUACGAGACCUUUGUCAAGCCAAAGGCUCAAGCACCGCUGAGGUGCUUAGCUACUCUAGGUUGGGGGGUAGGCCCUGGGGGAGAAGUUAUAGACACCUUUCCAUACUUUGUAUCUGGAGUACUUCAUUUAAUUUCUUCUGCAGUAUUGGGCUUUGGCGGCAUUUAUCAUGCACUUCUGGGACCUGAGACACUUGAAGAAUCUUUUCCCUUCUUUGGUUAUGUCUGGAAAGAUCGAAAUAAAAUGACCACAAUUUUAGGUAUUCACUUAAUCUUGUUAGGUCUAGGUGCUUUUCUUCUAGUAUUCAAGGCUCUUUAUUUUGGGGGCGUAUAUGAUACCUGGGCUCCGGGAGGGGGAGAUGUAAGAAAAAUUACCAACUUGACCCUUAGCCCGAGUAUCAUAUUUGGUUAUUUACUAAAAUCCCCUUUUGGAGGGUAAGGAUGGAUUGUUAGUGUGGACGAUUUAGAAGAUAUAAUCGGAGGACAUGUAUGGUUAGGUUCCAUUUGUAUACUUGGUGGAAUCUGGCAUAUCUUAACCAAACCCUUCGCAUGGGCUCGACGCGCACUUGUAUGGUCUGGAGAGGCUUUACUUAUCUUAGUAGUUUUAGGGGGCUUUUAGCCGUCUUUCAUUGCUUGUUGUUUUGUCUGGUUCAAUAAUACCGCUUAUCCUAGUGAAUUUUACGGACCUACUGGACCAGAAGCUUCUCAAGCUCAAGCAUUUACUUUUCUAGUUAGAGACCAACGUCUUGGGGCUAACGUGGGAUCCGCUCAAGGACCUACUGGUUUAGGUAAAUAUCUAAUGCGUUCCCCGACCGGAGAAGUCAUUUUUGGAGGAGAAACUAUGCGUUUUUGGGAUCUGCGUGCUCCAUGGUUAGAGCCUCUAAGGGGUCCAAAUGGGUUAGACUUGAGUAGGUUGAAAAAAGACAUACAACCUUGGCAGGAACGGCGUUCCGCAGAAUAUAUGACUCAUGCUCCUUUAGGUUCUUUAAAUUCCGUGGGUGGUGUAGCUACCGAGAUCAAUGCAGUCAAUUAUGUCUCUCCUAGAAGUUGGUUAGCUACCUCUCAUUUUGUUCUAGGAUUCUUCUUCUUCGUAGGUCAUUUGUGGCACGCGGGAAGGGCUCGUGCAGCUGCAGCAGGAUUUGAAAAAGGAAUUGAUCGUGACUUUGAACCUGUUCUUUCCAUGAACCCUCUUAAUUGAGAUGAGACAGGAGAUCCAAUGCUUGAAUGAAGUAAAAAUCACUUGGAUUCAAUCAUACAUCUUGGAAUCAGCCUAAGUAUUCCUUUUUUCUUUUUUUUUUCAAUUCAUUUUAUCUAACUUAUAUCUAAUCUAUUUUUCUGGCUUGGCUAGGUGGGAUAGCCGAGCCAUUCCCUUUUCUUUCGGAUAGCAGGUUGGGCAAAACCACUAAAGAAAAAAAUCUAUUCAAUUAGCAAAAAAGGAGAGAGAGGGAUUCGAACCCUCGAUAGUUCUUUGUUAAAACUAUACCGGUUUUCAAGACCGGGGCUAUCAACCGCUCAGCCAUCUCUCCGAAAGACUAUUUUUAUUUUAUUCCUCCGAAUAGAACAUGGCCAUAGGGGUGGAUACCCCCACUAUCUGUAGAAAGAUCUCAGGUGCGAAUCCACCGGUCGAUCUAUCUAUCCGUAUAUAGAUAUAUGAUCUAGCAUGCCAAUUUGUGAAAUAAAAAAUAAAAUUCCAUUUCCCCCCACCCCACUCCAUGUACGAAUAAAGUGCGAAAGGGGGAGUAGUAAUAAGUCAUAUGGAAUCAAUGGAUUCAUGAUAAAGUAAAAUCCCUCGAUGACAUAUUUUAUCACAAUUAAUAUUUUUUGGCUGAUAGAGGGAUCAAAUGGUAUAUAGUUCAUUUGUUGGUAGCUUGGAGGAUUAAAAGCAUGACUCUUGCUUUCCAAUUGGCUGUUUUUGCAUUAAUUGCUACUUCAUUAAUCUUAUUGAUUAGCGUACCCGUUGUAUUUGCUUCUCCUGAUGGCUGGUCAAGUAACAAAAAUGUUGUAU